ACGUGCAAGUCAAGAAGGCGACGUCCAUGACGAGACUGAAAACCCUGAUUGCAAUAUGCAGAGUCUGCUCCAGAAGCAUUUGAAGACACAGCACAUGAACCCGCUGCAGUCAUCGUCUUCAGAUUAUAUCAUCUCUAUGGUGCAGGACCCUCAGUCUGUGAACACAGGGAACCUUCGACGCCAAUGACGAAAUCAAACCAUCCAAUCAGAAACACAUCCUGUUGCAGCAGUUAUUACCAUAUUGACCCCAGUCAAACAAAAGAAGCUCAGAGAUAAAUACUGUUUAUGGUGUUCUAUUCUCUACAUACCUUGUGGUAUGUUGAGCACGUACUCUGACAGGUUUCAUCUUAUAAUUGUUUGACUGGUGGAAAAUAAAUGACCUUGUUCAAGUCGAAUUUUCAGAAUAACAAUUCAUAUUUCAAAUGCCAAAAAGUCAUAUCAACAGCCACAUUUGUUAUGUGACCAGCAAAGUUGUAUUCAAAGAGACACAAUAGUUUACUUUAUAUUUUCUUGUGACCAACCAUGUUGUAUUUAAUGAAAAGCAAUAGUUUAUGUUUUUAUGGGAAUUAUGAUGCUGUCAGUCAUGUUAUGUUGGACGUUUUAGUUAAAUAUAGUAUGUUACAAAAUGUAUUAUUUGAAGCACACAUAUUGCAGGUAUAUCCAAUGUCUGUGUCUGUAUUAUGAACCUUUCACUUCAGAUUUUGAUCCGGAUAUGGUAAAUUUAAGGGAAAUACAAUCAUAACAAAGUUAUUUUAAGAUUGUCAAAGCUGUUUAAACGUUUAUGGUAACUUGGACACAAUUGAAAAUAUAUUGGCGUAUUGUCCAUGUUUCAGUUUUCUGUUUUACCAGUAAUAUAGAUGUGCUCAUUAAAAUAAUUCUUCAAAGAGGUUGAGAGUUAUGAAACUUCAGCUUUUCUGUAUAUCAAUCUUUCUGAACACAAUACUUGUCAAUUUGCUCAUUCGGGUCGGUAUUUGAUCCAAAAUCUUGUUAACUUGCAUACUAUUUCAAGGGAAUAUAAAUUAAUUCUGGGCAAAAGUGUUGUAUCUACUUAAAUGAAUUGAUUCUUUGUUAACCGCCAGUACUUUGUUGAUUUCCAAUUGCUAUGGUUUGCUAAAUAAUUAAAGCAUGACUGUUGUUUUAUUUGGAAAGCUUUUAAUAAAACUCGGAAUUGAAAACAAUAUUUAAAAAAAUAGAUAAGUUUUAUGAAAAAUGGCACAUUUUAUGUUUGUUAAUUUGUGUUGUAAGAUCAUAGACUUACAUGCUCAUAAGUGUUAACAUUCGAUUUUGGACGUUAAAGUUUAUAAUGCUUUAUAUAUGCAUAUGUAGAUUUACACAACCAGAUUGUACCUUCUUAAAUCAGUGAGUAAUUUAACCCAGAUUUCUUGAUAACUGUUUAUAGGUAUAUUUUGCCAUUUAUACAUAGAGCAACUGCAAAGCGAUUGUAUUUUCGAUGUAAAUCAUUCAUUUAGUGUUGCUAUUGUUUAACAUAAACUCACUGUUUACAUUUAUUCGUACACACCAUUGUUAUAAAACAACAUUGCUUGUGUAAAUGCACAUAUAUGUAUAAAAACUGUUAAAUAAUGCAGCAUUCAAUAUUCUGAAGAGAAAAGGAUAUUUACGGCAAUAGAAACACCUUGUAAUAUGCUAUGCUUUUCAUCGAAUGAAUUUGAGCAACUAUUAAAAUGAAUUUAUUUCUUCUUUAAUUUUUACUAAAUACAACGAUAGUACCUUGAGAUAAGAAAUGAGUCAAUUACAAAAUAAGGGAGAGUGAUGUCAUAUGUUUACAAUUGUCAGGCAUAGCAAUUGCCUC